rnacentral:snRNA from 1 species
CCGCCAGACUUCAGAUCCACC